rnacentral:ncRNA from 8 species
CUGCCAGUAGUCAUAUGCUUGUCU